rnacentral:lncRNA from 1 species
CCCACCCUAGCCGAUCGCCGGCCAGGACCUGUUGGGCGCCCGCGUCUCCUGCCCUGCACAUUGCCCAGCGCCCGCAUCUCCUGCCCCGCACACGGCUCCCCACACCCUGCAUCCCGAAUCUGCGUAAGGAGGAACCGCGCUCCAGGCCCCCCUCCAUCCCAAACACACUCACGUUGAAGGUCUUGACGGAGUCCGGGCCAAUGUCCAGACCCAUCCAGCCAUCGGGGAUGGCGGUGAUGGGCACGGUCUGGGUGUUGGCGUUGGCGUCGAACUUGUCGGCCACCACCACGUCGGUGGGCAGCAGCAGCUGCACACCCUUGGCCUGUGGUGCGCACCAACAACCAGGAAGGAGCAGUAUUGGGUCAGGAAGAGUUGCUUGUGACCUUUGCAUACGCCCUUCCACCGCUGCAGAUAGCGCAGCCCCCAUCCACCCAACGGAACCGAUCCCUCAUUUGCCAAACAGCGGCCGCCUGCGAUUCCCAUCAUGUCGCGCUCGCUCGCUAACACACGCACCUUGGCCAUCUCCUCCAGCUUCUUGGCCAGCUCGAUCUUGUCGUCCUCAACCAGGGAGGAGCCCACCUUCAGGCCGCGGGCCUUGUAGAAGGUGAAGAUCAUGCCACCGCUGCGGGGGCAGAAAGAGAGCGGGGGCACAGGGUCAGUGCCAGUGCCAGAGCGAGGGUGGUGAGGUAUUCUGGCGCAGGACACAGCCGACUGACCAGCCAGCUUUGGGUUCGGUUCACGCGCCGCUGCACUCUCGCCUCCUCCGCGCACCCCUCCUCAUACGCGACUUGUCAGAGACAGGAAUGUGCUGAGACAGGAAUGUGCGGUACGUUGCUGCAUCCGCACUCAUAGGCCCUUCACAGGCCCCCCCCACACGCACAGACACUAACUCACCCGAUGAUGAUCUUGUCGCACUUCUCCAUCAGCGCCUCAAUGACGGUGAUCUUGGAGGACACCUUGGAGCCGCCCACAAUGGCCACGAAGGGGCGCUUGGGGUUGGACACGGCGCCAUCAAGGUAGUCCUGUAAGCGCGGGAGGCAUGGGCGGAGCACGGGUCAGAACCAGGCCGGGCAUCAGGGGGACGUCGGGGAAAUGUCGAGCACGGCCAAACGGCCGCGUGGAGCUGGAUUGCCCUCGGCAGCCAGUAUGAGAACCUUCCCCCCGAAGCUUUUUGCAACAUACACGAACAAUCGGACGCCUAAAGCUAAGCUGUCUCACCAGCUCCUUCUGCAGCAGGAAGCCGGCCACGGAGGGCUUCAGGAACUUGGUCACACCCUCGGUGGAGGCGUGGGCGCGGUGGGCAGUGCCGAACGCGUCGUUCACGUACAGGUCGGCGUUGGCGGCCAGCUGUGUGUGUUGUACGGUGGUGGGGAGGCAGGGAGAAGGGAGGGGAGGGUGGGGAGGGUGAGUCAACAAACAUGCCAGGGCGCAGGCGAUUGACGGAAGCACACGUGCGGGCAGGGGACACCCAACACCACCCACGCCACGCCCACCCCCCAGGCCGGCAAGCGCAAGCACUGCAUCAAGUUAUCAGAGUACCACUACCUCAACGUACUCAGCCAUGCCCGCCUUGCCUGAUUCUCAAAACCCACCUCCCUUUUCCCCAAUCUCCACAGUCCUCACCUUCUUGGCGAACUCGGGCUCGUUCUUCUCCUCCUCCUUGUAGAAGCGGACGUUCUCCAGCAGCAGCAGCUCGCCGUUCUUCAUGGCGCCCACCGCCUUCUCCACCUCGGGGCCGAUGCAGUCAUCGACCUUGGUCACGGGCUUGCCCAGCAGCUCCGACAGGCGGGCCACCACGGGGGUCAGGCGGUACUUGUCCUCGGGACCGCCCUUCGGGCGACCCUGUUUUUAACAUGGGCAAGAAGAGGAGGGGAAGGGUGCUCAGAGCUCAGGAGGUGAAAUAGGAGGGGGAGGAGGAGGGGGAAGCUAGGGCGGGCAGGGAGCGGAGGCAAGGCUAGCGUGUAGGGUGUGGUGUGCAAGCUAGCGAACAGACCGGGGCUGCGCCCCUUGGCAGCGACAUGUUCUGGGCCAGUGGUGGAACGAGAAACCUAUGCAUGCCGACAACACACGAUGCUAGGAGCGCCUACCGAGGGCCCUGGGUGCGCCGAGCACAGCACAAUCUCUUACCAGGUGCGAGGUCAGCAGGACCUUAGCACCGUUGUCCAGCAGGUACUUCAGGGUGGGGACGGCCGCGCGAAUGCGGGUGUCGUCGGUGAUGGCCAGGGUGGCCUUGUCAAGAGGCACGUUCAGGUCCGCGCGGACGAACACGCGCUUGCCUGCGAGCGAAGCAUGGAGGUAGAGCGAGUCAGGUUUAGCGCGACCCCGGGCCUGAUCGGGACCAGGCUAGGCGACCCAGAGUCAUCUAAGCGCUCAAAAGUAUCAGCAGAGCGGUGUCGGCAGGCUCAGCGACCGCGGGCGAGGCUUCGCUCGCCGAUGAUCCAGUCGACCGAACGCGAUAAAAAGCCCCCUUCUGCCACCUGGCCAGUGAGCUCACCCUCCAGGUCAGCCUUGUGCAGGUCGCCAACCGACUUCUUCAC